UACGAAGGGGGCUAGCGUUGUUCGGAAUUACUGGGCGUAAAGCGUGCGCAGGCGGUUCGCCAAGUCAGGUGUGAAAUCCCCGGGCUUAACCUGGGAACUGCAUUUGUGACUGGCAGGCUAGAGUAUGGCAGAGGGGGGUAGAAUUCCACGUGUAGCAGUGAAAUGCGUAGAGAUGUGGAGGAAUACCGAUGGCGAAGGCAGCCCCCUGGGCCCAAUACUGACGCUCAUGCACGAAAGGCGUGGGGAGCAAACAGGAUUAACGAA
rnacentral:rRNA from 1 species